rnacentral:rRNA from 1 species
UACGUAGGGGGCGAGCGUUAUCCGGAGUUACUGGGCGUAAAGAGUUGCGUAGGUGGCGGGUAAAGCGAACAGUGAAAGGUCACGGCUCAACCGUGGAUACAUUGUUCGAACUCACCAGCUAGAGCAUGAGAGAGGUAGAUGGAAUUUCUAGUGUAGGAGUGAAAUCCGUAGAUAUUAGAAGGAACACCGAUGGCGUAGGCAGUCUACUGGCUCAUUGCUGACACUAAGGCACGAAAGCGUGGGGAGCGAACGGG